GUGACGCAGAAUUUAGCGCUGAGAGGCACAACAGACCCAAAGACGAACGUGAAACGACGCCGUUGACGUAGCAUGUCUGGCACGCUACAGCUUCUUACGCUGCUGAGCUACAUACCAGCACCAUACAGGGACUGGGCCCAUCUGGAAAUGGAGUCCUGACCUUUAAGCAGACGCAAGACGCAAACUCCUGUGGAACGUUCUGAGAGAUUACCAGCAUUUCUGGGGGGAAUUCCACAGUCUAUGGCAUUCCUGAGGAAGGGGAAGAAGGAGGAAGAGAUGACUCGGUGCAUGGAUUCUGCAUCGGCAUGUAGUCUCAUGUGCCCAGUGUGUGCCACUUACAAAGUGGGCUGAUUUAU